CCCUUGUUGGUCAGAGUCAGUGGAGGAAAGGGAGAGAGGAGGGAUGUUGAGAGACGGACCCUCAGUCUGCUGCUCUCUCCCUCUGCUGAGACUGACCCUCGGUCUGCAGCUCUCUCUCUCUGCUGAGACUGACCCUCAGUCUGCUGCUCUCUCCCUCCGCUGAGACUGACCCUCAGUCUGCUGCUCUCUCCCUCCGCUGAGACUGACCCUCAGUCUGCUGCUCUCUACCUCUGCUGAGACGGUCCCUCAGUCUGCUGCUCUCUCCCUCCGCUGAGACUGACCCUCAGUCUGCUGCUCUCUCCCUCCGCUGAGACGGACCCUCAGUCUGCUGCUCUCUCCCUCCGCUGAGACUGACCCUCAGUCUGCUGCUCUCUCCCUCCGCUGAGACUGACCCUCAGUCUGCUGCUCUCUCCCUCUGCUGAGACUGACCCUCAGUCUGCUGCUCUCUCCCUCUGCUGAGACUGACCCUCAGAUGCAGGCACCAUUAGCCCAGACAGUGUCCCUGGAGAAGCAGGGGUGCCGUGGUUCCUGCCAGCACACCUCCUGCUCCAGCUGUCUGUUCCGGAGAGCCCCGUCCUCAGCCCUGACCUGUCUACACCGCUUCGGGAGGUGUGUCCAUAACCACCUGGCUGAGCACCACCAUCACCACCCCGUCUGCCACCACAACCUACAGAGUAAUACAGAGGGGUAUUUUGUUGGUGCCUGGCUGUCCUAAUGCGGUGAACUGAUGCUUUGCCUCUCAAAACCCUUCUCCAUACCUCCAGAUACUGAAUGGCAGCUGCUUUCAAAUACACCAUCUGAAUAACUUGACAAUAACUACAUUUUUUUUUGUGUUAUACACAUCGCCUGUGUACACUGUGAUAUGAAUCUUUAAUUUUUUGUGAAUAAACAAAUGGUAUUUUGUAGAUUAUAAUGUGUCUUUACAUAUAUUCCAUAUAGUGGAUUAACCUCAAGCUAAAUGGCAGGUACAUGUGUAAAGUGAA
rnacentral:lncRNA from 1 species